rnacentral:rRNA from 1 species
GAUGAACGCUGGCGGCGUGCCUAAUACAUGCAAGUCGAGCGAACAGAUAAGGAGCUUGCUCCUUGGACGUUAGCGGCGGGCGGGUGAGUAACACGUGGGUAACCUACCUAUAAGACUGGGAUAACUACGGGAAACCGGAGCUAAUACCGGAGAAUAUUUCGAACCGCAGGGUUCGAUAGUGAAAGAUGGUUUUGCUAUCACUUAUAGAUGGACCCGCGCCGUAUUAGCUAGUUGGUAGGGUAACGGCUUACCAAGGCGACGAUACGUAGCCGACCUGAGAGGGUGAUCGGCCACACUGGAAGUUAUACACGGUCCAGACUCCUACGGGAGGCCGCAGUAGGGAAUCUUACGCAAUGGGGGAAAGCCUUACGGAGCAGCGCCGCGCGAGUGGUGACGGUCUUCGGAUCGUAAAACUCUGUUAUUAGGGAAGAACCUCCGUGUACGUAACUGUGCACGUCUUGACGGUACCUGGUCAGAAAGCCCCGGCUAACUACGUG